UAAUACCAUGCCUCAGCCUCAGUAUCUAACUCUCCAUCACUUCAUGGCCCGUCCUGAGCCUGACAUAUAAUAUGCCUCCCAUAGGGGACAGUCUGUUUCCAGAGCGAGGUCGCCUGUGGCUCUUUAUUUCUUACAGAACUACAGUCACAUUGUGGCUGGGUUGUCAGGGCAUGCUUGGGCUUGUAGUGCUCUGUGGCUGGAUUGCCCGCAGGUUGUGGGUAUCUCUGGUUUUGUCAGUAGUUCCUUUUUUAUAUCACAUUCAUUACCUCAGCUGGAACACUGACUGGGGGGGGGGAGGUUUGAGGAAGGGGACCUCAAAUUAGUGUCUUGCCUAGGGCCCCAUGAGGUCUACAUCUACCUCCGCUGGGUGGCGCCUAUGACUAUGGGGGUAUUCUCCUGGGAUGGGCCUGUCUAGGGAUGGAACGCAGGUGGGAUGAGGCUUUUGGUGGAAUGAGCAGGGAAGGUGGUAUACACUCCCUGGAUAGUCUGCAGGGGGGCACGCUGUAUACAGAACAUGGGGCCAUUGAAGCUGCGUGGGAAGUCCGUGGUGUUCCAAAGAUCAAGGGCUCCCGGCUACUGCCGCAGGCCGGAAUUGGUCAUACCUGACCCCACUUCCCUUUUUCCGCCCAUUGUGACUGACCCCAUUCAGCCUUGCCCCAUUUUGCCUGGCCCCAUUCUACCACAAGACGAGCCAGACAGCCAACAACUCUGUGUCGAGGGCCACCUCAGCGCAAAGCUGGACGCACCCACGGGCCAGGACAACUCAAAGGCUAAUGACUGAUGGAUUUGAAUAAAGCUUUUAUUCUGUCUGUGCGGAGAAACAACGGGCGGGCACCGGCCCGUCGCCUCUUUUUACAGUUCCUUUUACGUUGUUUUUGAUACUUGGAACUUUUUAUUUGGCUUUUCUUUUCAAGGUUAUUUUACUGUUGAAUGUAUGGAGACACGCGCCCUGUCCACCGUUCCUCCAGCGAGUGGUCUCCCCAGGACGGCUGCAGAGACCGUUUCUUCCUGCGGAUGUUACCGCCAAAUGGGUCACAGGUCUCCUGUGUACCUGAACCUGUUUUUAGUGGGAGCUUAGCCAAUGCAAGAUCUAAAUCUGAGGCUCACAGAUGCCCCCCCCCCCAAUACACCCACCUCCCCAAAGACUGGAUAUGAGGCGUGCCUCCGUGGAGAAAGCCGUACCUAGAAUACAGUCUGUCUGCAGGCGAAUCACCUGCGUGUUGUGUUUAGAACUGUUAAACAAUCAUUAAACGCGUUGAGUAAA